AGGAAGGUGGCUCAGUGAUAGAGUGCUUGCCUUGUAUGCAUGAGGCCCUGGUUCGAUUCCUCAGCCCCACUU
rnacentral:tRNA from 1 species